rnacentral:lncRNA from 1 species
UUCUGUAGCUGCAAAAAUACCUCUAGGUGUUCCGGACACUAUGUGCCUAUAGCUGGCUACAGGAUCACAGCAGCCAAAAGCCCUCCAGGAAGAAGUAUGGAAGCAGCUUUAUUGAGGUUGCCAGCAAGGAUUACGGCUUCUUUGACGCAUGAACGUUUUGGAAUUUAUGAGGAUUUUAAUGAGGAUUUUCUGAAAAAAAUAAAAAUUGUUAUGUUCUGGGCAUUCAUCUAUCCUCUCAUCAGCUUUUGAUCUACCACAUCUUGGGUUGACAAACUACAGCCAGUGGACCAAAUCCAGCCCCUGACUAUUUUUCUAAACUUUACCUCAGAUACUGCUGAUAUUUACUGAUACAAUUGGCUCUGGGUCGAACUUGAAGCUGCAGCAGAAGAAGAUAUGGAAAAACUAAAAUCUUCCUCAAGCAAAUAUUAGAGUAAUUGUCAUUAUCUCACCAUGCUCUUUUCCUGGUUAUAAAUAUGCUAGAAAACAUUCUUACUGUAAUUUUAAUAAAGUAUUUCUCUAUGUUUU